rnacentral:rRNA from 1 species
UUACUGAGUUUACGCUCUAUAACCCUUUGUGAACAUACCUAUAACUGUUGCUUCGGCGGGUAGGGUCUCCGUGACCCUCCCGGCCUCCCGCCCCCGGGCGGGUCGGCGCCCGCCGGAGGAUAACCAAACUCUGAUUUAACGACGUUUCUUCUGAGUGGUACAAGCAAAUAAUCAAAACUUUUAACAACGGAUCUCUUGGUUCUGGCAUCGAUGAAGAACGCAGCGAAAUGCGAUAAGUAAUGUGAAUUGCAGAAUUCAGUGAAUCAUCGAAUCUUUGAACGCACAUUGCGCCCGCCAGCAUUCUGGCGGGCAUGCCUGUUCGAGCGUCAUUUCAACCCUCAAGCUCUGCUUGGUGUUGGGGCCCUACAGCUGAUGUAGGCCCUCAAAGGUAGUGGCGGACCCUCCCGGAGCCUCCUUUGCGUAGUAACUUUACGUCUCGCACUGGGAUCCGGAGGGACUCUUGCCGUAAAACCCCCAAUUUUCCAAAGGUUGACCUCGGAUCAGGUAGGAAUACCCGCUGAACUUAAGCAUAUCAAUAAGGCGGA